ACCUAAUGAACCUGUUCAAAGUACUAGGAUCAUUUCCUAGCUCUUCUGCAAGAAGAGAACAACUACAGGGGUCUGGAGUGCGUUCCUCCUGGCUAAACCCAACCAGAAGGCAGAGGGUAGAAGAGCCAAUUGCUGUAGCCCAUCCAGCUUUCCAGACAGAGAACAAAGUAGAGAACAGGGACCCGGAGAUCCAGACACUCUGACCUGAGUCAUUGAUUUCCAGCUGUCACACACAGAGGACAUCAUUGUGAUAUAGACCUUCAUCCAAUCUUGUGAGUGUGUGAGUAACUUUGCAUUCAU